AGAGUUUGAUCAUGGCUCAGGAUGAACGCUAGCGACAGGCCUAACACAUGCAAGUCGAGGGGCAGCACAAGGUAGCAAUAUCUGGUGGCGACCGGCGCACGGGUGAGUAACACGUAUGCAACCUACCUGUAAGAGGGGAAUAACCCGGAGAAAUCCGGACUAAUACCGCAUAAUACUGUUUUUCUGCAUGGAAAGAUAGUUAAAUAUUUAUAGCUUACAGAUGGGCAUGCGUAUGAUUAGCUAGUUGGUGAGGUAACGGCCCACCAAGGCAUCGAUCAUUAGGGGUUCUGAGAGGAAGGUCCCCCACACUGGUACUGAGAUACGGACCAGACUCCUACGGGACGCAGCAG
rnacentral:rRNA from 1 species